GAUAACCAAGCCGGGGCCAUACAAGAUUACUGCUUUGGUGUGUGACAAAUGGCCAACAGUUGCAGAGACAGAAACACCCGAGGAGGCUGCUGAAACUAUGAUUGACGGAGCCCUUGCCGGAGGUGAUUCAGAAACAAAGGACACAAACGGGGUGUCAAUGGUAAAACCCAAAGAACAUGGCGAGGAAGGUGCUACGGGGUCCGACGGUGCGUCAGCUGAGGAUGAUGAUAAUUCAGAAUAAGACGAGG